rnacentral:rRNA from 1 species
AAACUUGAGAGUUUGAUCCUGGAACAGAACGAACGCUGGCGGAAUGGAUUAGCCAUUCAAUUCGAACGAAGUAGCAAUACUUAGUGGCGCAAGGGUGAGGAACGCGUGAGUGACCUACCCGCAAGUUUGGAACAGCUCCUGGAAACGGGAAUUAAUACUGGAUGUGAUCAUGAAGCUGCAUGGUUUCAUGAUUAAAGCAGCAAUGCGCUUGCGGAUGGGCUCGCGUCCCAUUAGCUAGUUGGUGAGUUAACGUACCACCAAGGCCAUGAUGGGUAGCUGGUCUGAUAGGACGACCAGCCACACAGGGACUGAGAACUGCCCAGUCUCAUACGG